GCAGGGACAGAAGGAAUAGACAGAGAGACAGGGACAGAGAUAGCUACCUAGAUACACUGUAGUUAGGCUGUGGAAGGGGGCAUAUUUUUGGUCUAUAUCUACAUUUUCACUCACUUUUCUAAAUGAGACACUGAAGGAUGUUGAUGAUCAGUUUCUAGACCUGGGUACCUCUGCAGAGAUGUUUUCCCGUGUGAGUUCAUUAGGAUGCUUUUACCCACAGGCGUGGGAUACCUGUCACCUCUGUCUGUGACCGGAGACAGUGAGCCACCUGUGAGAGAUCAACACCAUGUCCCUACAGCGGAUGCUGAAGCUGCUCUAUGCGCUGGUGCUGUGUGUGUCCGCCAACGAAGACUUCGACUGGACCAAGAAUGAACGCGGAUCAUUCUACUAUGGCACCUUCCCAACUGGGUUUUCCUGGGGGGCUGGGGGCUCUGCGUACCAGACAGAAGGAGCCUGGGACAAGGAUGGCAAAGGGAUGAGCAUCUGGGACGUGUUCGCCCACAAGAAGGGAAAGAUCUUCCUCAACGACACCGCAGACCACUCCUGCGAAGGAUACUACAAGUUCAAGGAUGACAUCACCUUGAUGAAGGACAUGAAGUUUAACCACUACCGUUUCUCCAUCUCCUGGUCAAGGAUAUUUCCCAACGGAAUCAAAGCUGAUCACAUCAAUGAGAAGGGAAUUAAAUACUAUGAUGACCUGAUCAACAUGCUCCUGGACAAUAACAUCACACCAAUAGUCACCCUGUACCACUGGGAUCUGCCACAGGUCUUACAGGAGAAGUACGGUGGAUGGCAGAACGCCAGCAUGGUGAACUAUUUCAACGACUUUGCCAACUUAUGCUUUGAGCGGUUUGGUGACAGAGUCAAAUACUGGAUCACCUUCAACAACCCCUGGUCUAGUGCUGUGGAGGGCUAUGAGACUGGAGAACAUGCACCUGGACUGAAGCUGAGGGGCACUGGGGCCUACAAAGCUGCCCACCACAUUAUCAAGGCACAUGCUAAGGUUUGGCACACCUAUGACACUCAAUGGAGAAGCAAACAGAAAGGCUUGGUUGGGAUCUCGUUGUUGGCAGACUGGGGGGAGCCAGUGGACAUCACCAACCAGAGAGACAUCGAGGCAGCAGAGAGAUAUGUCCAGUUCUACAUGGGCUGGUUCGCUACACCCAUCUUCAACGGGGACUACCCUCAGGUCAUGAAAGACUACAUAGGUAGGAAGAGUGCCCAGCAGGGUCUAGGAACCUCCCGUCUCCCCGUCUUCUCUUCCCAGGAGAAGAGUUACAUCAAGGGCACCUGUGACUUCCUGGGUAUUGGCCACUUCACCACCCGCUAUAUCACCCAGAAGAACUACCCGUCUGGCCGUGGGAACAGCUACUUCACCGACCGUGACCUGGUGGAGCUGGUGGACCCUCGCUGGCCCGACCCCGGUUCCGAGUGGCUCUACUCUGUCCCCUGGGGAUUCAGACGCCUGCUCAACUUCGUCAAGACCCAGUAUGGGAACCCCAUGAUCUACGUGACAGAGAACGGAGUGUCGGAGAAGGUGCAGAGGUGCACAGACCUGUGUGAUGAAUGGAGGAUGCAGUACUUCAAGGAUUACAUCAAUGAGAUGCUCAAGGCCCUUAAGGACGGCGUGAACGUGAAGGGUUACACAGCCUGGUCGCUGCUGGACAAGUUUGAGUGGGACGAAGGCUUCUCUGAGAGGUUUGGCCUGUUCUACGUGGACUUCCUCAACAAGAAUAAACCACGUUACCCAAAAGCCUCUGUUCAGUACUACAAACGCAUCAUCAGCUCCAAUGGAUUCCCCAACCAGAGAGAGGUGGAGAGCUGGAGAAGGAAAGCCACAGAGACGUGCUCCUCCAGUAACCAGCUGCUAGCUGCAGAUCCGUUGACCAGCCACAUGGAGAUGGUAACAGAGAUCGUGGUUCCUACAGUGUGUACUCUCUGUAUUCUCCUGGCUGCUGUCUUCCUCAUGUUCCUGCUGCGUAGACGCUUCUAGAACACUGCUGUCUUCCUCAUGUUCCUGCUGCGUGGACGCUUCUAGAACACUGCUGUCUUCCUCAUGUUCCUGCUGCGUGGACGCUUCUAGAACACUGCUGUCUUCCUCAUGUUCCUGCUGCGUGGACGCUUCUAGAACACUGCUCUCUUCCUCAUGUUCCUGCU